rnacentral:rRNA from 1 species
UAAGAAGGGUGCGAGCGUUGUUCGGAAUUAUUGGGCGUAAAGGGUUCGUAGGCGGGAGAGCAAGUUGAGUGUGAAAACCCCGGGCUUAACCUGUGACGUGCACUCAAGACUGUUUUUCUUGAGUAUGGGAGAGGGUGGUGGAAUUGCUGGUGUAGGAGUGACAUCCGUAGGGAUCAGCAGGAACGCCGGAGGCGAAAGCGACCACCUGGUACAAAACUGACGCUGAGGAACGAAAGCGCGGGGAGCAAACAGG